rnacentral:rRNA from 1 species
GAUGAACGCUGGCGGCGUGCCUAAUACAUGCAAGUCGAGCGAACGGACGAGAAGCUUGCUUCUCUGAUGUUAGCGGCGGACGGGCGAGUAACACGUGGAUAGCCUACCUAUUUGACUGGGAUUACUUCGGGAACCCGGAGCUAAUACCGGAUAAUCUUUUGAACCGCAUGGUUCAAUAGUGAAAGACGGUCUUGCUGUCAUUUAUAGAUGGAUCCGCGCUGCAUUAGCUAGUUGGUGAGAUAACGGCUUACCAAGGCAACGAUGCAUAGCCGACCUGAGCGAUAAUUCGCCCACCCUAGAGCUGAGACACGGUCCAGACUCCUACAGGAGGCACCAGUAGCGAUUCUUCCGCAAUGAGCAAGAGCCAUACGGAGCAGCGCCGCGAGAGUGCUGACGGUCUUCGGAUCGUAAGACUCUGUUAUUAGGGAAGAACAUAUGUGUAAGUAACUGUACACAUCUUGACGGUACCUGAUCAGAAAGCCACAGCUAACUUCGUG